ACGGGUGAGUAACACGUGAGUAACCUGCCCUUGACUUUGGGAUAACUUCAGGAAACUGGGGCUAAUACCGGAUAGGAGCUCCUGCUGCAUGGUGGGGGUUGGAAAGUUUCGGCGGUUGGGGAUGGACUCGCGGCUUAUCAGCUUGUUGGUGGGGUAGUGGCUUACCAAGGCUUUGACGGGUAGCCGGCCUGAGAGGGUGACCGGCCACAUUGGGACUGAGAUACGGCCCAGACUCCUACGGGAGGCAGCAGUGGGGAAUAUUGCACAAUGGGCGGAAGCCUGAUGCAGCAACGCCGCGUGCGGGAUGACGGCCUUCGGGUUGUAAACCGCUUUCGCCUGUGACGAAGCGUGAGUGACGGUAAUGGGUAAAGAAGCACCGGCUAACUACGCGCCAGCAGCCGCGGUGAUACGUAGGGUGCGAGCGUUGUCCGGAUUUAUUGGGCGUAAAGGGCUCGUAGGUGGUUGAUCGCGUCGGAAGUGUAAUCUUGGGGCUUAACCCUGAGCGUGCUUUCGAUACGGGUUGACUUGAGGAAGGUAGGGGAGAAUGGAAUUCCUGGUGGAGCGGUGGAAUGCGCAGA
rnacentral:rRNA from 1 species